AACAAUAUACAGCUUACAAAUGCAGCCAAUAAAAAAUGUCAGUCUUUUAGAUAAUUUCUUGCCGACCCCUUCACAGAACCCAGAAGCAAGGCACCACGAGGGAGUCUGGCAGUGAGUAAGCAGAACUACUACUCGCAACCCCAUAUGGACUUUUUAUUGGACUGAAUGCGCAAAACCCUGUCAGGGUAAAUGUGAGUGUAAUUUUUAAUUGAUUUUAAGUUGUUUUUAAUAAAACGGUAUUACACUAUCACUGGUUUUUAUCUCUGGCAUUGGAACCUGGAAGGAAUAUCGUGACCCAAAGGAGGGACCAGAAAAGAGCUUUCUGUUACAUGCAUAACACCACUGCUGUGGUUUGUAAGUAGGCAUUUUUAUAGAAGGUGGAAGCACUCCUGGAGUAUAUUUAACUCUUCGCAGGGAAGCCAUCAUCUUCCUAUCACCUCUAUUGUUACCCUAUCACCCCCCCCCCACUAACAGCUAUCUAAGGGAAAAAGGGGAGAAAACACGGACUUAAUACUAAGUGCAUGCACAGGGUGAUAUUACCUAUUUGGAACGUAUUACGCUAUGCUUGUUUUUAAUUUCUGUUGCCACAGGCGCUGAUCUCUUCUCUUAUAUAUAUCCCUCUGGGAAC